rnacentral:rRNA from 1 species
GUCGUCAGCUCGUGUCGUGAGAUGUUGGGUUAAGUCCCGCAACGAGCGCAACCCUCGUUCCAUGUUGCCAGCACGUAAUGGUGGGGACUCAUGGGAGACUGCCGGGGUCAACUCGGAGGAAGGUGAGGACGACGUCAAAUCAUCAUGCCCCUUAUGUCUUGGGCUUCACGCAUGCUACAAUGGCCGGUACAAUGGGUUGCGAUACUGUGAGGUGGAGCUAAUCCCAAAAAGCCGGUCUCAGUUCGGAUUGGGGUCUGCAACUCGACCCCAUGAAGUCGGAGUCGCUAGUAAUCGCAGAUCAGCAACGCUGCGGUGAAUACGUUCCCGGGCCUUGUACACACCGCCCGUCAAGUCACGAAAGUCGGUAACACCCGAAGCCGGUGGCCUAACCCUUGUGGGGGGAGCCGUCGAAGGUGGGACCAGCGAUUGGGACUAAGUCGUAACAAGGUAGCCGUACCGGAAGGUGCGGCUGGAUCACCUCCUUU